rnacentral:lncRNA from 10 species
AUUAAAAUUAUGUAUAACAUAACCACAUUUAUUUAAAAAUGUAUCCCAAUAUCAAAUGGCAAAUUUCAACAAUGCAAAAACCGCAAUUACUUUUGCUUUCACCUAAUAGCUUGGAAGAAGAACCAGGGCCGGGGGAGAGGAAGAGGAGCUGGUCAACAGGCAGCAGGUAGCUGAAUGAGGGAUCUAGCAUCUCACUGUAAUCACGUGCAGGAAAAAAAGGAAUUAUGGAGGAGCUAGGAAGAGGGUUGGUUCGACAGGCAGCAGGUGUGUCUCAUUGGGUGCAGUGAUCCAAUCCAUAAAGCCUCAGCUCCCUGGUGUCAUACAGGAGGCCUGACCGUCAGUUUCCUGAGGAUGAUCUACAAAGCCAGUUCAGCUGGCUCUUCAGCACUGUAUUAAAAAUACUCUUAGUCGGUAAAGGUGAUAUUCCCAGUCAAAAGCUGGCCCGCUUAAUACGUGAUCACAGGAAGAUGAGAUAGCCAUUUACAGAAGCAAAAUAAAUCCAUAGUCUGAGGCGGAGGGUGCCAGCUGUUUCUAAAUCCAUUUCUUCUGGGGAAUGCCAUGUGACAGAAUAAGGAAUGAAAAGCUACUAAAUGUAUCAAGCAAUUAUGAGAAAUGUCAAAAAAGAGAGAUUUUUUCCCCCUGAUUAAAAAAAAAAGAAAUUAAAGACUAAAGAAUGAAUGCAGGGAAGGAUUCAGAAGAACUGGCCUUGACAUGCAUUGUUAGAGUGAAUGUGGUCCAUGGGGUCUAAAUGGAGACAGUCUAGCAGUUUUUACUACAUUCUAAAAUGCAUCGCCGGGAUUGGUCGCUCACUCCUGUAAUCCCAGCAUUUUGGGACGCCAAGGCGGGUGGAUUGCUUGAGGUCAGGAGUUAAAGACCAGCCCGACCAACAUGGUGAAACCCUGUCUCUACUAAAAAUACAAAAACUAGCCGGGUGUGGUGGUGGGUGCCUGUGAUCCGAGCUACUUGGGAGGCUAAGGCAGGAGAGUCACUUGAACCUGGGAGUCGGAGGUUGCAGUGAGCUGAGAUCGCACCAUUACACUCUAGCCUGGGAGACAGAGCAAGACUCCAUCUCAA